rnacentral:rRNA from 1 species
GAUGAACGCUGGCGGCGUGCCUAAUACAUGCAAGUCGAGCGAACAGAUGAGGAGCUUGCUCCUCUGACGUUAGCGGCGGACGGGUGAGUAACACGUGGAUAACCUACCUAUAAGACUGGGAUAACUUCGGGAAACCGGGGCUAAUACCGGAUAAUAUAUUGAACCGCAUGGUUCAAUAGUGAAAGACGGUUUUGCUGUCACUUAUAGAUGGAUCCGCGCCGCAUUAGCUAGUUGGUAAGGUAACGGCUUACCAAGGCAACGAUGCGUAGCCGACCUGAGAGGGUGAUCGGCCACACUGGAACUGAGACACGGUCCAGACUCCUACGGGAGGCAGCAGUAGGGAAUCUUCCGCAAUGGGCGAAAGCCUGACGGAGCAACGCCGCGUGAGUGAUGAAGGUCUUCGGAUCGUAAAACUCUGUUAUUAGGGAAGAACAAAUGUGUAAGUAACUAUGCACGUCUCGACGGUACCUAAUCAGAAAGCCACGGCUAACUACGUG